UACGUAGGGGGCGAGCGUUGUCCGGAAUCAUUGGGCGUAAAGCGCGUGUAGGCGGCUCGGUAAGUCCGGUGUGAAACCUUGGGGCUCAACCCCAAGCCUGCACUGGAUACUGUCGAGCUCGAGUCCGGGAGGGGAGAGCGGAAUUCCUAGUGUAGCGGUGAAAUGCGCAGAUAUUAGGAAGAACACCGGUGGCGAAGGCGGCUCUCUGGAACGGUACUGACGCUGAGACGCGAAAGCGUGGGGAGCGAACAGG
rnacentral:rRNA from 1 species